UAAUACGUAUGGGGCGAGCGUUGUUCGGAAUUAUUGGGCGUAAAGGGCGUGUAGGCGGUUUAUCAAGCCUGGUGUUAAAAUGCACAGCUUAACUGUGUAGGUGCGCUGGGAACUGGUAGGCUUGAGUUUAGGAAGGGAAGCUGGAAUUCCUGGUGUAGGGGUGAGAUCUGUAGAUAUCAGGAAGAACACCGGUGGCGAAGGCGAGCUUCUAGCCAUAGACUGACGCUGAGGCGCGAAAGCGUGGGGAGCGAACAGGAUUAGAUACCCUGGUAGUCCACGCUGUAAACGAUGUGCACUAGGUGUAGGUGAUGUGAUAGUCAUCUGUGCCGCAGCAAACGCGAUAAGUGCACCGCCUGGGGAGUAUGCCCGCAAGGGUG
rnacentral:rRNA from 1 species